rnacentral:rRNA from 1 species
CAUGGCUCAGAUUGAACGCUGGCGGCAGGCCUAACACAUGCAAGUCGAGCGGAUGAAGGGAGCUUGCUCCUGGAUUCAGCGGCGGACGGGUGAGUAAUGCCUAGGAAUCUGCCUGGUAGUGGGGGAUAACGUCCGGAAACGGGCGCUAAUACCGCAUACGUCCUGAGGGAGAAAGUGGGGGAUCUUCGGACCUCACGCUAUCAGAUGAGCCUAGGUCGGAUUAGCUAGUUGGUGGGGUAAAGGCCUACCAAGGCGACGAUCCGUAACUGGUCUGAGAGGAUGAUCAGUCACACUGGAACUGAGACACGGUCCAGACUCCUACGGGAGGCAGCAGUGGGGAAUAUUGGACAAUGGGCGAAAGCCUGAUCCAGCCAUGCCGCGUGUGUGAAGAAGGUCUUCGGAUUGUAAAGCACUUUAAGUUGGGAGGAAGGGCAGUAAGUUAAUACCUUGCUGUUUUGACGUUACCAACAGAAUAAGCACCGGCUAACUUCGUGCCAGCAGCCGCGGUAAUACGAAGGGUGCAAGCGUUAAUCGGAAUUACUGGGCGUAAAGCGCACGCAGGCGGUUUGUUAAGUC